rnacentral:lncRNA from 1 species
UAUUAUUGGAAAAUACCAUGUGACCUUCUGAGGAACUCCAUGCCUCCUUUUCUUGUCACCCCCGUCAUUUCUUCGUUUGAAUCGAGGAGUUCCACACUCGGGACAUUCAGUUAGAUUUGCAUUGUCGCCACGGAACAAGAUGCAAUCAUUCUUACAAGCAUGUAUUUUUUCAACCUCCAUUCCUAAAGGGCAAAUAUUCUUCUUGGCCUCGUAGGUGGUCUCAGGUAUCUCAUUACAUUUCGGUAGCAUGUCCUUUAACAGAUCUAACAAAUCCUUGAAGCAUCGAUCUGUUAGAAAUGGGUAGCCUUCAGCUGAAGAAGCUUAAGUCAUGUGAAGAGUUUUGUGUACUUUUCUUUACAACCGGGAUAUAGAGGGGUUU